rnacentral:lncRNA from 10 species
UCUAAGGGAGAUAGAGAUUAACUGAUCAUAAGAAUAAAUGUAAAAUUAUAUGGCCAGAUGGUUUUCUUUUUUGAAAUAUUAAUCUUUCUUCUUUCUCUGGCAUUUCCUCUUUCUUUAUAGGGCAGUUGGGCUCAGGAAAUUCACUGCUGCAGGGUAGGGAUGACUCAGUGGAAGUCAGUAGUCAGUUCUUGUCUUUUGAGUGUCAAAACUGAAGCUCAAAUGUGUGUGUGUGGGUGGAGGGUGGAGGUGGUGGUGGGUGGUGGAGGAUAGAAAGAACCAGGUGAAAACCCAAAGAUUUGGAAGGCGCAGGGUGAUUUCCUGGGCUGGGGGAAGACAGGGUGAUGGUGAGGGGUUGGGCUGUUGCUGGGUGGGCUUUGAAGAUGGGCCAUGUACCUGCCCGGAUCCUUCUCUGCUCCUCAUCCAAGGAGGUCUGGAGGGCCUGGGAACAGAGAAGACUUGUAUCACCAUCCCCAGGGUAAAGCUCAGGGAGGUGGAAGGGCCCCAGCAUUCCCUGAGCCAGUGGAGCACAGACUCCAUGGUGUUUUGGAGCAGAGUCUUAAGGCAGCCUUGAGUCUUCUGGGGCCAGGGCAGCUCUGCAACCCACCAGCUGAGGCUCACCCAGAGUCACCAGGGAGGGCAGGUCCUCCACUUGCCUCUGUUGCUGGGUCCAUGCCUGGACCUACCUACCAGGUGGGCUGCACACCUUUUCUUCUGGGGAGGAAAAUGUUCCUCUGAGUUUCACUUUUUAAAAAAUUUUGACAAAAGCCUAUUGGCCACUCUGGCUCUUCCAGCUCAGCAGCACCUGGCAUUGUUUUCUGACCAUCUGAUGUGCCAUGUGCUGCCACCCACUCCUCUUAGCUGCCCAUGCUUGCCCUGUGAAAAAGGCGCCUCAGUGCGGAGGCUGAAGGUCAAGUAUGGGGAGGGGGAAUGAAAGAACCACAGGCUCGACCCUCAGCCACAAGGUCUCCCACGGUCCCUGGAACCACUGCGGGGCUGGGCCACUGUUGGGGGUCUGCAUUCCAGAUGCAGACAGCACUGGAGUGGGAGUCAGAGCAUGGAUAAGCCUGGCUAUGCCCCUGAACUGGCCAUGUGACCUGAGACAAGUCUCACUAUCUCCAAGCCUGUUACUUCAUUGAUAAAACAGGGACAACAUCAGUGUGGUCAAUGAGAUAAAGGAUUUGAAAGAUCAAGUCUUGUUGUCAUAAUAAAAGUAGAUUUACUGAGCACCAUGUCCUGAGCCAGGCACUGUGUCAAGAGGUGGCUCAGGUGAAUCUCGUUGAUUCUUCCCCACACGCCUGUGAUGUGGGAUGCGGACAUUAUUGUUACCCCAUUACAUAGAAGGGGAAACUGAGGCACAGAGAGCUCAAGGAAGCUGCUGAAGAUCAUAUAGUUAGUAUUUCGCAAGCUGGUAUUCAAAGCCAGGCUGGCAGAGCCCACACCGAGACCCCUUCUAUUUCAUGCAGCACUUCUGGAGAUUCCCUGGUAGGAUGGGGCAGAAAGGGACUCUGAGGCCAUCUCAUCCACUCAUCAUACAGAGAAGGAAACUGAGCCUCAGAGGAGGGAAUGGACUUGCUUAUGAUCUCAAGCAGCCUAGACACCACAUUGAUAUAUGCAUGAAUAAAAUGUGAAACACUACAUGUUCCUUUUGGACAAACGCAUGUGAAUCCACAAAAAGGACUUUCUGAGGAUGUCCAAACUUGCCCACAUGGGAUGCUCUACUUUUGAAAAGUGCAGGUCUUGGGCAAGGCUGUGAUGAGGAGAGGGGAAUGUGCGGGGGACCUUUGAGGACCACUAAGCACUGCUCAGAGCAGAAGGAACAAAACAGGACCGCUGCCUCCUUCACCAGCCUGGAUUUGACUCCCAGCUUUGUCCAGAGAGGGAAUUGGUCCUGAAGAAACAGUCAGAGGUGAGCACUGAGAUGUAUGAUGCAGGGUGCUCACUGUAACACUGUUUCCAAGAAUGAAACAUCCGAAGGAACCUAAAUGUCCAACAACAGGGGACUGGUUAAAAAUGCCAUUGUAGUUUUGUCGGGUUCUAGAAUAUAAGACAACCGUUAAGAAUAGUGUUAUAGAAUAAGUGUCUAAAGGCAUAUGGAAUGUGUUCCCGGUUGUAUUUGCCUGUUUUCACACUGCUAAUAA